rnacentral:rRNA from 1 species
GUGGGGAAUCUUAGACAAUGGGGGAAACCCUGAUCUAGCCAUGCCGCGUGAGCGAUGAAGGCCUUAGGGUUGUAAAGCUCUUUCAGCUGGGAAGAUAAUGACGGUACCAGCAGAAGAAGCCCCGGCUAACUCCGUGCCAGCAGCCGCGGUAAUAGGGAGGGGGCUAGCGUUGUUCGGAAUUACUGGGCGUAAAGCGCACGUAGGCGGAUUGAAAAGUUGGGGGUGAAAUCCCGGGGCUCAACCUCGGAACUGCCUCCAAAACUAUCAGUCUUGAGUUCGAGAGAGGUGAGUGGAAUUCCGAGUGUAGAGGUGAAAUUCGUAGAUAUUCGGAGGAACACCAGUGGCGAAGGCGGCUCACUGGCUCGAUACUGACGCUGAGGUGCGAAAGCGUGGGGAGCAAACAGGAUUAGAUACCCCGGUAGUCC